CAAAAGAAUGUUCACACGAGUCUCACAAAUAUGCUGAAUAUAUUAUGCUUGCGCUGCUUUUACUUAAGAUUGGAGUAUUUACUUAGCUUUUACUUCUUCUGAGCAAUGUUCAUUUUCUUUUUCUUUAUAUCUCUCUCUUUUUGUUAUUUUCAAGUAGUUACAUGAAAGAGCAGAAUUAAUCUAAUAUGCUGCAUAUAGAUAUAUAUCUUGCAAACAGCAUUUUCAUUAUGCCCAAUGAUUCAUAGCUUAUCACAAGUUAUUUUGAAUUAGAAACUUGAGGCAUAAACUUGUGUAUUUCAUGGUUAUGCAUUAUACAGGCAAAAGUGAACUUCAAUUUAAUCAUACCAUGAAAUAAUUUUCAUUAGCAUGAGAAUGAAGCAUGAUAUCAAGAAGAUUAGCAAUUAAAUGUUUAAUCAUGCUACCAUAUAAUUUUAGACUAUUAAUUUUGCUCAACUAACUCACAAGAGAAGGGUUUAGAUUACCAAGGCAUUUAGCAUUCUUCAAGCCAAAUUCCUUUUAGAUUCUUUACACCCUUGGCUGAAGAAAAUCUCUUUUUUUUUGUUUGCAAGGGAAUGUUUAUUGUAUCUUUCAUCGAGGUGUCCUUCAAGUUGAAAUUUCUUGCUCAUAAAUCCUGUAUCAUUAAUGAAAUCUUUUUCUUUCUUGAAGGAAAGUCAUUAGUUUCUUCAAGAUACAAAACAUUCAUCCAAUAUAUUUCUUAGCUAGAUGACUCAACAUAAGAUAUGACAAUAAUUGAAUAUUAAGUCACUUUUCUCAAGAGAUUGUCUGAAUAUAAGCAAGCACAAGUCACUUGAACUAAAGAGAUAACUUCAUUAAGUAAAAUGGUUCAAGGACAAGCAUGUGAGGCAAUAGAAGGAUUCAUCAAGGUCAAAUCAAAAUUUUUUAUUUUCAGAAUUAAUUUAGCUUAGAUUCUAUUUGCUUAAGAUAAUUAUCAAUAAGAUAUACAAGUUGAGUUUUAAUCAAAUUAUCUUAAACAGUUGUUUCUAUCAAAAAUUAUGAUUAUGAUUUAGUUUUCAACACUAAUAAUCAUGUUUCAGGGAGUUGAGCAAUCUACUUUUAGAGCAAUUAGGAUUUUAUUUUGACUUAUGAGUGAUAGUUUAAAAGAAUUAAUAUUCAUGCUUUAAAAGAUUUUU
rnacentral:lncRNA from 1 species